rnacentral:rRNA from 1 species
CGAACGGACGAGAAGCUUGCUUCUCUGAUGUUAGCGGCGGACGGGUGAGUAACACGUGGAUAACCUACCUAUAAGACUGGGAUAACUUCGGGAAACCGGAGCUAAUACCGGAUAAUAUUUUGAACCGCAUGGUUCAAAAGUGAAAGACGGUCUUGCUGUCACUUAUAGAUGGAUCCGCGCUGCAUUAGCUAGUUGGUAAGGUAACGGCUUACCAAGGCAACGAUGCAUAGCCGACCUGAGAGGGUGAUCGGCCACACUGGAACUGAGACACGGUCCAGACUCCUACGGGAGGC